CAGAACGAACGCUGGCGGCGCGUUUUAAGCAUGCAAGUCGAACGGGAUCCAGAAGCUUGCUUCUGGUGAGAGUGGCGAACGGGUGAGUAACACGUAGAUAAUCUGCCUUGAAGUUGGGGAUAGCUCAUGGAAACAUGGGGUAAUACCGAAUAAUCUCAUUUCUGUAUUGGGAAUGAAGAAAGGGGCUAAGGCCUCGACUUUAGGAUGAGUCUGCGGUUCAUUAGCUUGUUGGUGGGGUAAAGGCCUACCAAGGCGACGAUGAAUAGCCGGCCUGAGAGGGUGACCGGCCACACUGGAACUGAGACACGGUCCAGACUCCUACGGGAGGCAGCAGCUAAGAAUCUUCCGCAAUGGGCGAAAGCCUGACGGAGCGACGCCGCGUGUAUGAUGAAGGCCGUGAGGUUGUAAAGUACUUUUCCUUGUUGAAGAAUAAUGCCAGGAGGGAAUGCCUGGCAGAUGACGUUAGACACGANGAAUAAAGCAACGGCUAAUUACNUGCCAGCAGCCGCGGUAACACGUAUGUNGCAGCGUUGUGCNGAUUUAUUGGGCG
rnacentral:rRNA from 1 species